rnacentral:tRNA from 4 species
CUCGGGGUAGCUCAGCUGGAUAGAGCACCGGUCUUCUAAACCGUAGGUCGCGAGUUCGAAUCUCGCUCUCGAGG